rnacentral:lncRNA from 1 species
UGGCGUGAGUUGCAGCACCAUUGUGUGUGCUCUUAUAAAGUCGUCAAUUCUUUGGCAGGCAUGCACAUCAAGAUCCUUCCAGCCAAGCCCACCUUCACCUUCUAGCUUCCCCUUAUGUCGUGAUUCGGGGACCCCUAUGGCCUUGCGGUCCGCCAACCAAUCAGUGCAGAACUCAACGCACUCUUCUGCAUGACAGCCUUCCAUGAUCCUUCCUUCGGGACGCCCUCUGUUACGAACAUAUCGCUUUAGCACCCCAUUGUAUCGUUCGGGCCCAAACAUGCUUCUUCACCAGCCUGGUCGUCAGACUCCAUGUUUUCCAUCUCAAUGCCGUCAUCCACUUCAAUGCCAUCCUCCCCGUGAGAAGUCCACCAUGAAUAACCAGGCACAAAUCUCCGCAUGAGCAAGUGCACCUCGACAUCCUCUGGCUCUUACAACUUGCUGUUCCGAAAUCUCACACAGGGACAACACAUCUUAUCACCCCCUUACCUAUGCAUAUCUUCCACGCCGGCAUCGACAAAAGUCUUCAGCCACUCUAUCCACUCAACACAUAACCUAUCCUCGUACAUCCAAGCACGGCCCAUCGAGCUACAACACAAUUAAAAAAAAAUAAACGAAUCAGCUUGAUCGACAAAAAUGGAAAUUUUCGGCAUGACCUAUGCUAAAAAAUAGCAUUUUGCACUACGAAAUUCGAUGCCUG